rnacentral:tRNA from 1 species
GGGCCGUUAGCUCAAUGGCAGAGCAGGGGCCUCUUAAGCCCAAGGUUGCAGGUUCGAGCCCUGCACGGCCCA